rnacentral:rRNA from 1 species
CGCCGCGUCAGGGAUGACGGCCUAUCGGGUUGUAAACCUCUUUUAGUAGGGAAGAAGGGAGCUAUCGGUUCUUGACGGUACCUGCAGAAAAAGCACCGGCUAACUACGUGCCAGCAGCCGCGGUAAUACGUAGGGUGCAAGCGUUGUCCGGAAUUAUUGGGCGUAAAGAGCUCGUAGGCGGUUUGUCGCGUCUGCUGUGAAAUCCCGAGGCUCAACCUCGGGCUUGCAGUGGGUACGGGCAGACUAGAGUGCGGUAGGGGAGAUUGGAAUUCCUGGUGUAGCGGUGGAAUGCGCAGAUAUCAGGAGGAACACCGAUGGCGAAGGCAGAUCUCUGGGCCGUAACUGACGCUGAGGAGCGAAAGCAUGGGGAGCGAACAGGAUUAGAUACCCUGGUAGUCCAUGCCGUAAACGUUGGGCGCUAGAUGUAGGGACCUUUCCACGGUUUCUGUGUCGUAGCUAACGCAUUAAGCGCCCCGCCUGGGGAGUACGGCCGCAAGGCUAAAACUCAAAGGAAUUGACGGGGGCCCGCACAAGCGGCGGAGCAUGCGGAUUAAUUCGAUGCAACGCGAAGAACCUUACCAAGGCUUGACAUACACCGGAAACGGCCAGAGAUG